rnacentral:rRNA from 14 species
CAAGGAAGGCAGCAGGCGCGUAAAUUACCCAAUC